ACGGAAGGCAGCAGUGAGGAAUAUUGGUCAAUGGGCGAGAGCCUGAACCAGCCAAGUCGCGUGAAGGAUGAAGGUUCUAUGGAUUGUAAACUUCUUUUGUUCGAGGGUAAAGUGAGGGAUGCGUCCCUUAUUGCAAGUAUCGAACGAAUAAGCAUCGGCUAACUCCGUGCCAGCAGCCGCGGUAAUACGGAGGAUGCGAGCGUUAUCCGGAUUUAUUGGGUUUAAAGGGUGCGUAGGCGGGAUGUUAAGUCAGCGGUGAAAGUUUGCGGCUCAACCGUAAAAUUGCCGUUGAAACUGGCGUUCUUGAGUGUAAACGAGGUAGGCGGAAUGUGACGUGUAGCGGUGAAAUGCUUAGAUAUGUCACAGAACCCCGAUUGCGAAGGCAGCUUACCAGCAUACAACUGACGCUGAGGCACGAAAGCGUGGGUAUCAAACAGGAUUAGAUACCCUGGUA
rnacentral:rRNA from 1 species